ensembl:rRNA 5S_rRNA 5S ribosomal RNA
GCCUAUGGCCUUACCAUCCUGGAAACACCUGAUCUUGUCUAAUCUCAGAAGCAAAGCAGGGUUGGGCUCGGUUAGUACUUGGAUGGGAGACCAUCUGGGAAUCCCAAAUGCUGUAGUCU